rnacentral:rRNA from 1 species
UAAUACGUAGGAGGCGAGCGUUAUCCGGAUUUAUUGGGCGUAAGGAGGGCGCAGGCGGUUCUUCAAGUCGGAUGUGAAAUCUCCCGGCUCAACCGGGAGGAGCCAUUCGAUACUGUUGGGCUAGAGGGCAGUAGAGGAAGGUGGAAUUCCCGGUGUAGUGGUGAUAUGCGUAGAUAUCGGGAGGAACACCAGUGGCGAAGGCGGCCUUCUGGGCUGUUCCUGACGCUGAGGCCCGAAAGCGUGGGAAGCGAACAGGAUUAGAUACCCUGGUAGUCCACGCUGUAAACGAUGGAUACUAGGUAUGGGGAGUAUCGACCCUCUCUGUGCCGAAGCUAACGCUUUAAGUAUCCCGCCUGGGGACUACGGCCGCAAGGCUA